GGGGAAUUUUGGCCAAUGGGGGAAACCCUGAUCCAGCCAUCCCGCGUGUGCGAUGAAGGCCUUCUGGUUGUAAAGCACUUUUGGCAGGAAAGAAACGUCGCGGGUUAAUACCUCGCGGAACUGACGGUACCUGAAGAAUAAGCACCGGCUAACUACGUGCCAGCAGCCGCGGUAAUACGUAGGGUGCAAGCGUUAAUCGGAAUUACUGGGCGUAAAGCGUGCGCAGGCGGUUCGGAAAGAAAGAUGUGAAAUCCCAGAGCUUAACUUUGGAACUGCAUUUUUAACUACCGGGCUAGAGUGUGUCAGAGGGAGGUGGAAUUCCGCGUGUAGCAGUGAAAUGCGUAGAUAUUAGGAGGAACUCCGAUUGCGUAGGCAGCUUACUAGGCCAUACCUGACGCUCAUGCACGAAAGCGUGGGGAUCAAACA
rnacentral:rRNA from 1 species